rnacentral:rRNA from 1 species
GACGAACGCUGACGGUGUGCUUUAGACAUGCAAGUCGAGCGAGAAAGCCCUUCGGGGUUAGUAAAGCGGCGAACGGGUGAGUAACACGUGGGCAAUCUGCCCCUCGCAGGGGGACAACCGGGGAAACGUCCGGCUAAUACCCCGUAACGUUUCCAAAGUCGCAUGGCAUUGGAAAGAAAGGCAGCUUCGGCCAUCCGGCGAGGGAUGAGCCCGCGGUACAUUAGCUAGUUGGUGGGGUAACGGCCUACCAAGGCGGCGAUGUAUAGCUGGUCUGAGAGGAUGAUCAGCCACACUGGGAC